rnacentral:tRNA from 1 species
GUCCCGCCGGUGUAAUGGAUAGCAUAUGAUCCUUCUAAGUUUGAGGUCCUGGUUCGAUCCCAGGGUGGGAUA